rnacentral:rRNA from 2 species
ACCCGCUGAACUUAAGCAUAUCAAUAAGCGGAGGAAAAGAAACCAACAGGGAUUGCCUCAGUAACGGCGAGUGAAGCGGCAAGAGCUCAAAUUUGAAAUCUGGGGCCUUCGGCUCCCGAGUUGUAAUUUGAAGAGGGUGUUUCGGUUGCGGCCUUGGCCUAAGUUCCUUGGAACAGGACGUCAUGGAGGGUGAGAAUCCCGUACAUGGCUGAAGGCUUGCUUCCAUGUGAAACCCCUUCGAAGAGUCGAGUUGUUUGGGAAUGCAGCUCAAAAUGGGUGGUAAAUUUCAUCUAAAGCUAAAUAUUGGCGGGAGACCGAUAGCGCACAAGUAGAGUGAUCGAAAGAUGAAAAGCACUUUGAAAAGAGAGUUAAACAGUACGUGAAAUUGUUGAAAGGGAAGCGCUUGCAAUCAGACUCGCUUUCGGUUGAUCAGCGACGCCUUCUGGCGCGUGCACUCUGCCGUUUGCGGGCCAGCAUCGGUUGGAGCGGCGGGACAAAGGCGGCGGGAAUGUGGCUCCCCUCGGGGAGUGUUAUAGCCCGUCGUGUCAUACCGUCAGCCCCGACCGAGGUCCGCGGUUCGCCUAAGAUGCUGGCUUAAUGGUUGUAAGCAACCCGUCUUGAAACACGG